rnacentral:rRNA from 1 species
GGAACUCAAAGGAGACUGCCAGUGAUAAACUGGAGGAAGGUGGGGAUGACGUCAAGUCAUCAUGGCCCUUACGACCAGGGCUACACACGUGCUACAAUGGCGCAUACAAAGAGAAGCGACCUCGCGAGAGCAAGCGGACCUCAUAAAGUGCGUCGUAGUCCGGAUUGGAGUCUGCAACUCGACUCCAUGAAGUCGGAAUCGCUAGUAAUCGUGGAUCAGAAUGCCACGGUGAAUACGUUCCCGGGCCUUGUACACACCGCCCGUCACACCAUGGGAGUGAGUUGCAAAAGAAGUAGGUAGCUUAACCUUCGGGAGGGCGCUUACCACUUUGUGAUUCAUGACUGGGGUGAAGUCGUAACAAGGUAACCGUAGGGGAACCUGCGGUUGGA